GGGGAUCUGCCCGAUAGAGGGGGAUAACCACUGGAAACGGUGGCUAAUACCGCAUAACGUCGCAAGACCAAAGAGGGGGACCUUCGGGCCUCUCACUAUCGGAUGAACCCAGAUGGGAUUAGCUAGUAGGCGGGGUAAUGGCCCACCUAGGCGACGAUCCCUAGCUGGUCUGAGAGGAUGACUAGCCACACUGGAACUGAGACACGGUCCAGACUCCUACGGGAGGCAGCAGUGGGGAAUAUUGCACAAUGGGCGCAAGCCUGAUGCAGCCAUGCCGCGUGUAUGAAGAAGGCCUUCGGGUUGUAAAGUACUUUCAGCGGGGAGGAAGGCGACAGGGUUAAUAACCCUGUCGAUUGACGUUACCCGCAGAAGAAGCACCGGCUAACUCCGUGCCAGCAGCCGCGGUAAUACGGAGGGUGCAAGCGUUAAUCGGAAUUACUGGGCGUAAAGCGCACGCAGGCGGUCUGUUAAGUCAGAUGUGAAAUCCCCGGGCUUAACCUGGGAACUGCAUUUGAAACUGGCAGGCUUGAGUCUUGUAGAGGGGGGUAGAAUUCCAGGU
rnacentral:rRNA from 1 species